GCCACCCGGCAACAUGAUCGUUCACGGUCUCCUAAUGCGUAGGUCUCGGGUUCGAAUCCCGAAGGCGGCUCCA
rnacentral:tRNA from 1 species